CUGUUUGGAGGUUCCCGAUCGUUGCAGUGUCGAUUUGCCCUUCGAUUUAUGAUCGUAGGUUCUUUCGAGGCUGUUUGAGUUUGGCGCUUUCUCCCGGUGCUCGAGCUUGGGGGUCCGAACUUUUCAUUGCUUUGAGGAGGUCAAUUUAUCCUCGGUCUAUGUCAGGUUCCCUCUUUGCGACUGAAACAAAGUUCCUUAUGUCUUUGAUGUAGUUUAU
rnacentral:lncRNA from 1 species